rnacentral:rRNA from 1 species
UACGUAGGGUGCGAGCGUUAAUCGGAAUUACUGGGCGUAAAGCGUGCGCAGGCGGUUUUGUAAGCCAGAUGUGAAAUCCCCGGGCUCAACCUGGGAAUGGCAUUUGGGACUGCAAGGCUCGAGUUUGGCAGAGGAGACUGGAAUUCCUGGUGUAGCAGUGAAAUGCGUAGAUAUCAGGAGGAAUACCGAUGGCGAGGGCGGGUCUCUGGGCCGAUACUGACGCUGAGGAGCGAAAGCGCGGGGAGCGAACAGG